ensembl:lincRNA Gm30414 predicted gene, 30414
GGCGCCACGGUCCUCUACCCCUGCGUGGUGUAUGACCGUGGGCUUUUCACUUUCAUCAGAAAAAUUGCAAGCAGUACUUCUUGUUUUGGUAUCUCACACUGGCCAUGCUUUGUCUCCUGCCCUUUGGGCAGUUUUAGUCUCUUUUCUUUCUCCUGCAGUAGCUCCACUGUAUUUCAGUGGACUGUAGCCACAGAGACAGUGUAUCUUUCCAUGUUUCUAACACCACACCACACAAUGACAGUAAAAAUUCUAGUCCACAAACCCUGCUUUAAAGGAAAUUCCUUGUUUUCCAGUGACUCCAGCAGAGCUGAAUCUGAAAGACCCACAACGUGAGGACUCCCCCACGUUCUGACUCAGGAGAGGCGACACCUCAAAAUCACCCACAAGAAACGGGUCUUGCUGCAAAUUNGUGAUCCUGUGAAAGAGCAAUUUGAUGAUGAAAGAACUCAGUGGGGAAACCCCCACUCAGCUCCCGAUUCGGCGUGCACCCAAGAAUCACGAAUAGAACACAACACCUUGAUGUAACAANNNNNNGUAGCUACAUUUUGUAAUGGCUGAAUGAAGGCAUGGAGGCAGCAAAGUUGGAGCUCACAUCUCGAACUACAAACAGAACAAUGAGAUUGAAUUUGAAAUGGCUUGAGUCUCUAAACUCUAAAAACCUUUGUCCAGAUACAUACCUCCUUCAGCAAGGCCACACUUCUUAGGCCGCCCCAAACCAUGCUACUAAUCAUGGACUAAUUAUGUAAAUGUCGUAGACUAUGGGGGGGCAUAUCAUUAAAACUACCACACUUACAUUUAUUAACCAAUUUGUCUAUAUAGCCAUUCUCUUGUUUCAAGGUUUCUAGUCCCUGACAUGAUUUCUUUCUCAUUGAGUGGGCCCUAAGUCCAAUUUGCCAGUCACUGGUUAACACUAACAUAUGAAAGCCAUUUAUUUCAACUUUUCAGAUGUCUCUCCAUACCUGCUAUUGUGGUGGUUCAUAGGUGCCACAGCUGGAUAGAACUAUUAAGUGUUUUUUGUAUAGUAUUUUCUGGUACUAUGAAAGCUAGACUUUAAGAAGGAGACUCUGUGAUUCUACAAUACAAAUUAUGAUCUUACUUGAGAAGAGAUUUUCCCUCACUCAUGACAAGUAGAUGUACACAACUCUGACAGCUUUUAUAUUAGUGCAAGAGAUCUGAACUGGGGUUCAUUAAUCCACUGAGCCCUCUCUCUAGUCCUGCAAAGUGUUUUCUUACUUUAAAAAAUCAAUUGCAGGAAUUUCUAUGACUAACAUGCUUAAAGAUAUUUGGAUCUCUUUCCCUUGGAAGAUCAAAAUGUUCUGUUAUGUUAUAAAACAUACUGACUGAUUAAAAUAGGUUUUUCUGUACAAAAAGAGUGCCCCUUAAGCCUCCACCCUCAGGACAGGACAAGUUGCUGUGAUUUUAGAAUCUAGCUUAGAAAAUCCCAUGUAAACCAUCACGCUUUCAGCUAUCCAUCUUGAUUCGUGGUUUUCAUCCUUAUUCCCUCAUAUAUUUGUCACACUUCCAUCAAUUGCAUUUUCUCUUACCAAUGAGUUUACUCCCCAACUCAGCGAAAAGCACUUCUGUCAGCCAUGUUCCUUUUAGAACUCUGGAGCUGGAACUGGUACUAUCAACAACUGCCAUUAUUUUUAAACUGAGUUUUUUUCUUUAAGAUUUAUAAUCUUAUAAUUUUCAUUUCCCUUCCUUUUACAUUUUUCUUAUUUUUUUUCAAAACUAUGUUUCAUAAAUAGCAUUUUGGUAGAUGACUGUAGGCUUCCAGACUUGGGAAAAACCACUAAAUACUGAUUCAUAUCUUGAAUAUAAAAUCCUUAUUCCAGAAUCUCCUGCAGCUGUGGAGACAAGGCAAUGAUGCUAGUAAUAAGAUCUGAGAACCAGACACAUGUUUUGUCUGAGUGAGACAGUGGGGUAUGUCCUUAUUCACUAUCAGGUAUCUUACUUUAAAAUUACAAACUUUGACAUUCUUUCAUCAUUUUUUCCUUUAUGUGAGAAAAAACUGAUUUUUCUCAUAUAAUAUAUCCUGAUUACAAUUUCUUCUCCCCACAAGACUCUCCGUUCCUUCCCACCUCUUCCUACCAUCUGCAUUCACUCUUUUUCUGUCUCUCAUUAGAAAACAAAGGUGUCUGAGGAAUAAUGAUACAUUUAAUAUAAUAAGCUAGAGUAAGAUAACACAGAACCCAUCCAUUGUAAUUGGAUAAAACAGACAGAAGGAAAAGAAUGGAAAAGAAGACACAAGAAACAGAGACCUACUCAUUUGCACACUCAGGAAUCCCAUUACACCACUAAAAUGGAAACCAUAAAAUAUGUGUUAAGGACUUGGUGAAGCCUUGUGCAGAUACUGUGCAUACACCUUCAGUCUCUGUGAGUUUAUUUGUCCUUUGAUCUUAUCGAUUUAGAGGGAUUGUUUUUUUUUGCCUUUAAGAGUAAGAUAAAAACAGGGAUUUGUCAAUCUGGCUUUGAGAUCUCUGAAUAUUAAAUAACAAUUAUUUCUCACU